rnacentral:rRNA from 1 species
UACAGAGGGUGCGAGCGUUAAUCGGAAUUACUGGGCGUAAAGCGUGCGCAGACGGUCAUGUAAGUCGGGUGUGAAAGCCCCGGGCUCAACCUGGGAAUUGCAUUCGAGACUGUGUGGCUAGGGUGCGGAAGAGGGAAGCGGAAUUUCCGGUGUAGCGGUGAAAUGCGUAGAUAUCGGAAGGAACACCAGUGGCGAAAGCGGCUUCCUGGUCCAGCACCGACGUUCAGGCACGAAAGCGUGGGGAGCAAACAGG